GGGCGAUUAGCUCAGAUGGUUAGAGCGCUGGUUUCACAUACCAGAGGUCACUGGUUCGAGUCCAGUAUCGCCCACCA
rnacentral:tRNA from 2 species